UUUGAAAACUGUUUGGUUUCUCAAAAAUUCAUGUGUCUGAUAAUCGCUGCUGCAGAUUCAACUUAAGAGUUAGUGGCGGACGGGUGAGUAACACGUUAGUACCUACCCCAAAGUGGGGAAUAACUGCCCGAAAGGGUAGCUAAUACCGCAUGUGACCGUUUACGGUUAAAGCAGUAAUGCGCUUUGGGAGGGGCUUGCGUCUGAUUAGCUAGUUGGUAGGGUAAUGGCCUACCAAGGCGACGAUCAGUAGCUGGUUCGAGAGGAUGACCAGCCACACUGGGACUGAGAUACGGCCCAGACUCCUACGGGAGGCAGCAGUCAGGAAUAUUCCGCAAUGGGCGAAAGCCUGACGGAGCAACACCGCGUGCAGGAUGACGGCCUUCGGGUUGUAAACUGCUUUUAUUUGGGAAGAUUGUGACGGUACCAAAUGAAUAAGGACCGGCUAACUACGUGCCAGCAGCCGCGGUAAUACGUAGGGUCCAAGCGUUAUCCGGAAUCACUGGGCGUAAAGCGUGCGUAGGCGGAUGUUUAAGUGUAAUGCGAAAUCCUGGGGCUCAACCCCAUGGACUGUAUUGCAUACUGGACGUCUGGAGGAAUGCAGAGGCAAGUGGAAUUACCGGUGUAGCAGUGAAAUGCGUAGAGAUCGGUAGGAACACCAAUGGCGAAGGCAGCUUGCUGGGCAUUAUCUGACGCUAAGGCACGAAAGCGUGGGGAGCGAACAGGAUUAGAUACCCUGGUAGUCCACGCCGUAAACGAUGCAUAUUAUUAGUAUGGAGUAUCGACCCUCUGUGCUGAAAAGCUAACGCGAUAAAUAUGCCGCCUGGGGAGUACGAUCGCAAGAUUAAAACUCAAAGGAAUUGACGGGGCUCCGCACAAGCAGUGGAUCAUGUGGUUUAAUAUGAUGGUACGCGUAGAACCUUACCAGGGCUUGACAUCCUGAUCGCAUCCUAUGGAAACACUGGAGUCAGUUCGGCUGGAUCAGUGACAGAUGCUGCAUGGCCGUCGUCAGCUCGUGUCGUGAGAUGUUGGGUUAAGUCCCGCAACGAGCGCAACCCUUGUCGUGUGUUGUAUUUUUCACGCGAGACCGCCCGGGCCAACCGGGAGGAGGGUGGGGAUGACGUCAGGUCUGCAUGGCUCUUACGUCCUGGGCUACACACGUGAUACAAUGGCCGGUACAACGGGCAGCCAACCCGCGAGGGGGAGCUAAUCCCAUCAAAACCGGUCUCAGUUCGGAUUGUAGGCUGCAACUCGCCUGCAUGAAGUUGGAAUUGCUAGUAACCGUGGGUCAGCACACCACGGUGAAUACGUUCCCGGAGCUUGUACACACCGCCCGUCACACCACGAAAGUUGGGGGUGCCCGACGUGCCUACUUUGCUAGGCCCUAAGGCAAACCCAGUAAUUGGGGUG
rnacentral:rRNA from 1 species